GACGAACGCUGGCGGCGUGCUUAACACAUGCAAGUCGAACGGAAAGGCCCUGCUUUUGUGGGGUGCUCGAGUGGCGAACGGGUGAGUAACACGUGAGUAACCUGCCCUUGACUUUGGGAUAACUUCAGGAAACUGGGGCUAAUACCGGAUAGGAGCUCCUGCUGCAUGGUGGGGGUUGGAUAGUUUCGGCGGUUGGGGAUGGACUCGCGGCUUAUCAGCUUGUUGGUGGGGAAGUGGCUUACCAAGGCUUUGGCGGGUGGCCGGCCUGAGAGGGUGACCGGCAACAUUGGGACUGAGAUACGGCCCAGACUCCUACGGGAGGCAGCAGUGGGGAAUAUUGCACAAUGGGCGGAAGCCUGAUGCAGCAACGCCGCGUGCGGGAUGACGGCCUUCGGGUUGUAAACCGCUUUCGCCUGUGACGAAGCGUGAGUGACGGUAAUGGGUAAAGAAGCACCGGCUAACUACGUG
rnacentral:rRNA from 1 species